UUUUGCUUGCGAAAUUCAGCUGGUUCUUAUUUUAAUAAAUUAUUUUUGUGUUUUUUUUAACGUGACUUAUUGUAGAUUUGCCGCGAAUGGCAUUACUUGGCCGGAGAAAUGGCGAGCGCUGAGGACUCUCAUCCGGUACAAAAAUUAAGACAACAGGCCUGAGGGUGCCCCGUUUUUUUUUUAUUUUUGUUAACAACUCGUUAUCACAUUCUCAUGUGAUUUUCUUCCACAAAACCUCAAAGCGUAACGUACUAAUUUACCCCGAUACCGACACCGCCGGCGUGGUCGACGAUUUCCUUCAAUCAGCGCUUAUCGCUAUCGACCCACUAGGGUCGAUUAAUUCUUUCAAAUAUUUUUCCUCUCAGACGACGCCCUGAGCCGAGGUUCGCGACCAACUGGGCACCCUCAGGCCUGUUGUCUUAAACGUUGUACCGGGUGAGAGCCUUCAGCGCUCCCCAUUUGUCCGGCCAAGUAGUUAAUGCCAUCUGCGGCAAAUCUA